CCCAAGCAUUUCUUUGCCUACCUGAUUUACAGAUCCGUUGUGUUUCUCGCCAUCAUGUGCAGGGAAAGAAAAGUUUGUUGGGGGGGGAGGCUGAUAAA